UAUUUUUAUGUGCAUUUAGCUGACUUCAGCUACUUGUUAGGAGGCAACUUUGGACAGUGAAUGAGCAGGUCUCUGAGCCUCAGUCUCACCUAAAACUUAUUUAUUUAUUACUUUAAUGACUAUCUGAGCACCUACUGUGUGUUGAGCCUAACAACAGACUGUUUCCUCAAGAGCUAAGAGGUGAUCUUGUUUAUGGAAUCUUCAGCUCAGCAUGUAAGAGACGGACAGGCCAGUGGACAUAGCACAGCCACAGGAGGAAGACAAAACAGGAAUAAGGAGGGAAGCACCUUUCCGAAAGACCUCCAAAAUAUGGCAGAAAGGGACAGAGGAGGUGGCUUUGAUGGUCAUGGUAACGAUCGUCAGGCCGACUGAGGGAAUACCAGGUGUGCAGGUCCAUCGUCACAGCCCCGAAUAAUCUGCAAUACUGCUCAUUUCGAUUUCUCAGCUCCGUGCCAGCCCCUUCAAUAAUAGCAGGCAAUUUAAUUUCAUCUAUUAGGGGUUACGUUCUCUUUACUCUAAUAAAGCAAAUGCU